rnacentral:rRNA from 1 species
UACGAAGGGGGCUAGCGUUGCUCGGAAUUACUGGGCGUAAAGCGCACGUAGGCGGCUUUCCAAGUCGGGGGUGAAAUCCUGGAGCUCAACUCCAGAACUGCCUUCGAUACUGGAAAGCUCGAGUCCGGGAGAGGUGAGUGGAACUGCGAGUGUAGAGGUGAAAUUCGUAGAUAUUCGCAAGAACACCAGUGGCGAAGGCGGCUCACUGGCCCGGUACUGACGCUGAGGUGCGAAAGCGUGGGGAGCAAACAGG